rnacentral:rRNA from 1 species
GACGUAGGGUCCAAGCGUUGUCCGGAUUUACUGGGCGUAAAGGGCGCGUAGGCGGCGUGACAAGUCACUUGUGAAAUCUCCGGGCUUAACCCGGAGCGGUCAAGUGAUACUGUCGUGCUAGAGUGCGGAAGGGGCUACUGGAAUUCUCGGUGUAGCGGUGAAAUGCGUAGAUAUCGAGAGGAACACCUGCGGCGAAGGCGGGUAGCUGGGCCGACACUGACGCUGAUGCGCGAAAGCCAGGGGAGCGAACGGG